rnacentral:rRNA from 1 species
UUGAACGCUGGCGGCAGGCCUAACACAUGCAAGUCGAGCGGUAGCACAGAGAGCUUGCUCUCGGGUGACGAGCGGCGGACGGGUGAGUAAUGUCUGGGAAACUGCCUGAUGGAGGGGGAUAACUACUGGAAACGGUAGCUAAUACCGCAUAAUGUCGCAAGACCAAAGUGGGGGACCUUCGGGCCUCAUGCCAUCAGAUGUGCCCAGAUGGGAUUAGCUAGUAGGUGGGGUAACGGCUCACCUAGGCGACGAUCCCUAGCUGGUCUGAGAGGAUGACCAGCCACACUGGAACUGAGACACGGUCCAGACUCCUACGGGAGGCAGCAGUGGGGAAUAUUGCACAAUGGGCGCAAGCCUGAUGCAGCCAUGCCGCGUGUGUGAAGAAGGCCUUCGGGUUGUAAAGCACUUUCAGCGGGGAGGAAGGCGGUGAGGUUAAUAACCUCAUCGAUUGACGUUACCCGCAGAAGAAGCACCGGCUAACUCCGUGCCAGCAGCCGCGGUAAUACGGAGGGUGCAAGCGUUAAUCGGAAUUACUGGGCGUAAAGCGCACGCAGGCGGUCUGUCAAGUCGGAUGUGAAAUCCCCGGGCUCAACCUGGGAACUGCAUUCGAAACUGGCAGGCUAGAGUCUUGUAGAGGGGGGUAGAAUUCCAGGUGUAGCGGUGAAAUGCGUAGAGAUCUGGAGGAAUACCGGUGGCGAAGGCGGCCCCCUGGACAAAGACUGACGCUCAGGUGCGAAAGCGUGGGGAGCAAACAGGAUUAGAUACCCUGGUAGUCCACGCCGUAAACGAUGUCGAUUUGGAGGUUGUGCCCUUGAGGCGUGGCUUCCGGAGCUAACGCGUUAAAUCGACCGCCUGGGGAGUACGGCCGCAAGGUUAAAACUCAAAUGAAUUGACGGGGGCCCGCACAAGCGGUGGAGCAUGUGGUUUAAUUCGAUGCAACGCGAAGAACCUUACCUGGUCUUGACAUCCACAGAACUUUCCAGAGAUGGAUUGGUGCCUUCGGGAAAUGUGAGACAGGUGCUGCAUGGCUGUCGUCAGCUCGUGUUGUGAAAUGUUGGGUUAAGUCCCGCAACGAGCGCAACCCUUAUCCUUUGUUGCCAGCGGUUAGGCCGGGAACUCAAAGGAGACUGCCAGUGAUAAACUGGAGGAAGGUGGGGAUGACGUCAAGUCAUCAUGGCCCUUACGACCAGGGCUACACACGUGCUACAAUGGCAUAUACAAAGAGAAGCGACCUCGCGAGAGCAAGCGGACCUCAUAAAGUAUGUCGUAGUCCGGAUUGGAGUCUGCAACUCGACUCCAUGAAGUCGGAAUCGCUAGUAAUCGUAGAUCAGAAUGCUACGGUGAAUACGUUCCCGGGCCUUGUACACACCGCCCGUCACACCAUGGGAGUGGGUUGCAAAAGAAGUAGGUAGCUUAACCUUCGGGAGGGCGCUUACCACUUUGUGAUUCAUGACUGGGGUG